GGUGAAAUGGCCGAGCGGUCUAAGGCGCCAGAAUCAGGCUUUGUGCAUCUGGUCUCUUCGGGGGCGGGAGUUCGAAUCUCCCUUUCAUCA